rnacentral:rRNA from 1 species
AUACAUUAGCAUGGGAUAUGGAAUAGGACCCUGUCCUCCUAUUUUCAGUUGGUUUUGGCAGCCGGAGACUAGGGUAAUGAUUAAUAGGGAUAGUUGGGGGCAUUAAUAUUUAAUUGUCAGAGGUGAAAUUCUUGGAUUUAUGAAAGAUUAACUUCUGCGAAAGCAUCUGCCAAGGAUGUUUUCAUUAAUCAAGAACGAAAGUUAGGGGAUCGAAGACGAUCAGAUACCGUCGUAGUCUUAACCAUAAACGAUGCCGACCAGCGAUUAGGAGACGUUGAAUACAAACACCACCAUCGGUGCGGUCGUCCUUGGCGUCGGUCUUUCGGGGCCGGCGCGGGGACGGCCUUAGCCCGGGAGGCACCGGUGAAUGACUCCCUAGCAACUGUGAUUGUGAAGAGAAGAA